rnacentral:rRNA from 1 species
UACGGAGGGUGCGAGCGUUGUCCGGAAUCACUGGGCGUAAAGGGCGCGUAGGUGGCUACUUAAGCGUGUGGUGAAAGUCCGGGGCUCAACCCCGGAUCGGCCGUGCGAACUGAGUGGCUUGAGCACUGUAGAGGCAGGUGGAAUUCCGGGUGUAGCGGUGGAAUGCGUAGAGAUCCGGAAGAACACCGGUGGCGAAGGCGGCCUGCUGGGCAGUGGCUGACACUGAGGCGCGACAGCGUGGGGAGCAAACAGGAUUAGAAACCCCCGUAGUCC